GACAGAGGGUGCAAACGUUUGUUCGGAAUUACUGGGCGUAAAGCGAGUGUAGGCGGUUUGGUAAGUCGGAUGUGAAAGCCCCGGGCUCAACCCGGGAAGUGCACUCGAUACUGCCAAGCUAGAGUAUCGGAGAGGUUGGUGGAAUUCUCGGUGUAGAGGUGAAAUUCGUAGAUAUCGAGAGGAACACCGGUGGCGAAAGGCG
rnacentral:rRNA from 1 species